UCUCUGUAUGCGCGUUUGUGUGAGAAUCGGAAGACUUGCUAUGAGAACUGUUGCAGAAAACUUUGUGGUGUAUGCAUGAGCUUUGAUGUUUUUUGGAGCAAGAGAGAUCAGCUUCAUAUUAUUUUACAAAUGAAGAAAAUGAUAGCCCUGGGGUUUGAGGGUUCAGCCAACAAGAUAGCUGUUGGGGUAGUAACUUUAGAUGGCACCAUUCUAUCAAACCCACGUCACACCUACAUUACUCCCCCGGGGCAAGGAUUCCUUCCGCGGGAAACUGCUCAACACCAUCUCCAACACAUUCUUCCACUUAUAAAAUCUGCUUUGAAGACUGCCCAAAUAACCCCAAACGAAAUUGAUUGCCUUUGCUAUACCAAAGGUCCUGGCAUGGGAGCCCCACUACAAGUUGCUGCUAUGGUUGUUCGGAUUCUUUCACAAUUGUGGAAGAAACCCAUUGUUGCUGUUAACCACUGUGUGGCACAUAUUGAGAUGGGGAGGAUUGUGACUGGGGCAAUUGAUCCUGUUGUGUUGUAUGUUAGUGGUGGGAAUACUCAGGUAAUUGCAUAUAGUGAAGGUCGGUACCGGAUCUUUGGGGAAACUAUUGAUAUUGCCGUUGGAAAUUGCUUGGAUCGAUUUGCUAGGGUUUUAAAUCUCUCCAAUGAUCCAAGCCCUGGAUAUAACAUUGAGCAACUUGCAAAGAAAGGAGAAUUGUUUAUAGACCUUCCUUACGUUGUCAAAGGGAUGGAUGUAUCUUUCAGUGGAAUACUGAGCUAUAUUGAAGCCACUGCUGUGGAGAAGCUAAAAAAUAAUGAGUGCACCCCUGCAGACUUGUGCUACUCCUUGCAGGAAACUGUGUUUGCAAUGCUUGUAGAGAUUACAGAACGGGCAAUGGCACAUUGUGACACGAAAGAUAUUCUCAUUGUUGGUGGUGUUGGUUGCAAUGAGCGCCUGCAGGAUAUGAUGAGAACUAUGUGCUCUGAGCGUGGUGGAAGAUUGUUUGCUACUGAUGAGAGGUAUUGUAUUGAUAAUGGGGCAAUGAUUGCAUAUACUGGUCUCCUUGCUUACGCUCAUGGUACAUCAACUGCACUGGAGGAAUCAACAUUCACCCAGCGGUUUCGGACUGAUGAAGUACAUGCAAUCUGGAGAGAGAAAGAGAGUGUGUGCCAGCUAACAUGAAUGGUUUCAAGCAGGAAAGCAGCUAAAUCUAGAAGAUCUGAAGCGAUCAUUACCACAAUUAUACCCAAACAACAUUAUGUCCAUUCAGAACGGCACAAGUCUAAGUUACAACAUUCUCUCCACCAUCAGUGGUUCAACUACAACCAUCAACAUUAUCUCUGUUUUGAGUACUUGGGAUUACUUGGAGAUAUCAGUACGUCAUUCUGUAACUAAACAUGAAGGAUCUACAAAAGACAAAAUAUAUUGUAGUAUCAAAUUCAUCAGUUGAAACUGAAAUCUAAUUUCUCAAACAUACUUCAUUUUGAGAAUGCAUAUUAUUAUGAGGAUAAUCUCUACUUGGGUGUUGUUACAUCUCUGAAA